ACUCAUCAACUAAUCUAUAAGAUCAUAACUAUUAUUGUGUGUAGGGUUGUUAAUAUAUAUAUAUUCUUAUGAGAUAUGUUAAGUUUAGUAAUUAAACAAAUGUGUACAAGAGUACCUUUAAAUAAAUCUUCUUUUUUUUUUUCUAUAUUUUAACACAAUUGACCAGGAGAGGCUCAGAAGUGUUAUAAACGUCAGAUUUCUUUCAAAUUUUGCACACUUGUAAUAAUCCAUGAAAAAAAAAAUACAUUGUGCGUUUGAACUAAAAGCGUAUAUAUGGUGAGAAAUUUGCAAUAAAGUUUGCGAGUUGGAAUUGAAGAUAUUAUUAUUGUUCUCAUCAAACUGACAAGAAAAAUUGAUGUAUUAUUUGUAUGAAUUAAUGUCUUCUUUGUAGGGAUUCCAUGUGAAUUAUUAUGAGAAUAGUAUGCAACAGCUGAUGUGUCAAGAAAUAAUUCAAAUCAUAAAUUGUCAAAUGAUAUUUUCAAUCAUUUGACUGUAAGAGAACAACGAUAAGAAGAGUCCAACAAUACCACAACCAUGAAUGAUUUUUCAAGACACAAGCCUUAAUAUACUUACACUUGGAAAAAAAACCAUAUGCAGUAUUAUUCUAUCAAUAGAAAUGCAGAAGUAAUGCAUCCUUGUCAUUAGAAAUUGUGAAAACAAAUGGCAAAUACAUUAUAUUGGCAAAUUCUAUUCUUGUACAAAAUCUUUUAGCAAGUUUUGUACAUGGUAAUGGAAGAAUAUUAUUGUUCAUCGACUGACAAGAAAAAAUUGAUGUAUUAUUUGUAUGAAUUAAUGUCUUCUUUGUAGAAAUUCCAUGUGAAUUAUUAUGAGAAUAGUAUGCAGCAACUGCUGUGUCAAGAAAUAAUCAAAAUCAUAAAUUGUCAAAUGAGAUGUUAAAUCAUUUUUGACUGGAAGAGACUAUGCAUUAAUUUCAACAACGAUAAGAAUAAUGCAACAAUACUGCAACUAUGAAAGAUUUUUUAGAGAUACUGCCUUUAUUAUAAUUACACUGGGG